rnacentral:ncRNA from 1 species
GUAAAGGCGAUGACGAAGAGAAGUAGUGGGAAUUAUCGCUUCCAGAGAGUGGGGAUGGCUGAGAACCCUGCAGAAUGAAUUCCUGUGAAUAACACUUUACCAGCCGCAAUCUGAACGAAAUCUGUCAAUACGGACACAGGCAGAUUCCUUAGUAGGUGCGCCGUGACUGUGCGUUAGACAGAAGUUGGUUUUGAGUGACUGCUUUUCAUAAGGCAGUAAUUCAGGUGGUACCGCGGAAUAAUCCGUCCUGAAC